UGGGGAAUAUUGCACAAUGGGCGCAAGCCUGAUGCAGCCAUGCCGCGUGUGUGAAGAAGGCCUUCGGGUUGUAAAGCACUUUCAGCGGGGAGGAAGGCGAUAAGGUUAAUAACCUUGUCGAUUGACGUUACCCGCAGAAGAAGCACCGGCUAACUCCGUGCCAGCAGCCGCGGUAAUACGGAGGGUGCAAGCGUUAAUCGGAAUUACUGGGCGUAAAGCGCACGCAGGCGGUCUGUCAAGUCGGAUGUGAAAUCCCCGGGCUUAACCUGGGAACUGCAUUCGAAACUGGCAGGCUAGAGUCUUGUAGAGUGGGGUAGAAUUCCAGGUGUAGCGGUGAAAUGCGUAGAGAUCUGGAGGAAUACCGGUGGCGAAGGCGGCCCCCUGGACAAAGACUGACGCUCAGGUGCGAAAGCGUGGGGAGCAAACAGG
rnacentral:rRNA from 1 species